AUCGCUUCUCGGCCUUUUGGCUAAGAUCAAGUGUAGGAGUUGUUACAAAGAUUAGAACCCACGUUUGCCUCUUCUGGGGUUUUCUAGUUUCAUUUUUGGAAAUUGCAGCUACCUGUUAGCAUUUGAGAUUUCCCAGUGUUAGUCUUGACUUCAAGGAUAAAAAGGAAGUGAUCAGCGUCCAGUUUAUUCAGUUCAU